AUGAAGGCCGGAAUUCCAACAAUCUCCUUUCCGCAUAAGCAGCCAUUGCCUAAUAGGAAAACUGCCCUUGGAUUUGAGUACCUCCCUACUAGCCAAGACACAGCUGAAUUUGCCAACUCUACCUCCAAUUCCUUAGCUCAAGCUUUUAUGGCCCACUUCAAAGUUCAAACAGUUUGUGCCCCUCCUUUGAAUUCAAAAAAACAACUAUUGGCCAAGCUCCUACUUCCUUUCAUUCAUCUCUUUGAUAUCUCUGACGAGCUGUAUGAACUGAAACCUAGCUCAGGUGUAGCAUCCGCACUCGCCGGCAGAUGA